rnacentral:rRNA from 1 species
CAGCCGCCACGGGAAUACGAAGGGGGCUAGCGUUGUUCGGAUUUACUGGGCGUAAAGGGCGCGUAGGCGGACUGAUAAGUCAGGGGUGAAAUCCCAAGGCUCAACCUUGGAACUGCCUUUGAUACUGUUUGUCUUGAGUUCGAGAGAGGUAAGUGGAACUGCGAGUGUAGAGGUGAAAUUCGUAGAUAUUCGCAAGAACACCAGUGGCGAAGGCGGCUUACUGGCUCGAAACUGACGCUGAGGCGCGAAAGCGUGGGGAGCAAACAGGAUUAGAGACCCCCGUAGUCCCUGUCUCUUAUAA